rnacentral:rRNA from 1 species
GAUGAACGCUGGCGGCGUGCCUAACACAUGCAAGUCGAACGGAGUAUAUUCGCUGCAGAGAUUUCGGUCGAAGCUUGAGUAUACUUAGUGGCGGACGGGUGAGUAACGCGUAGGUAACCUGCCUUUGAGACUGGGAUACCCGAGGGAAACUUCGGCUAAUACCGGAUAACAACGGAGAUCGCAUGAUUUCCGCUUGAAAGGUGCGUUUGCACCACUCUUAGAUGGACCUGCGGCACAUUAGCUAGUUGGUGAGAUAACAGCCCACCAAGGCGAGGAUGUGUAGCCGACCUGAGAGGGUGACCGGCCACAAUGGGACUGAGACACGGCCCAUACUCC